rnacentral:misc_RNA from 1 species
GGAAGUAAGAGUCGUAACAAGGUUUCCGUAGGUGAACCUGCGGAAGGAUCAUUAUUGUAUAACCGAGGUGCGAGGGCUGUCGCUGACCCGAAAGGUCGUGCACGCCCGAGUGCCCUCACACACAUCCAUCUCACCCCUAUGUGCACCACCGCGUGGGUCCCCCUUUGGCUUGUUCGGAGGGGGGCUUACGUUUUCACACAAACUCUGUAUGCAGUGUAGAAUGUAUUUUUUGUUUUUGCGAUCACGCAAUCAAUACAACUUUCAACAACGGAUCUCUUGGCUCUU